UAAACUGUUUGUAAUGUUUACGGUGCUCAAGCAUGGCACUGACUUGUUCUUUCCAUACUUGCUGCCGAAUCCAUAUAAUAAACUCCGUAAUUAAGCUCAUUAUUAUUAUUAUUAUUAUCGCCAUUUAUAUAGCGCCAACAGAUUCCGUAGCGCUUUACAAUAUUAUGAGAGGGGGGAUUUAACUAUAAAUAGGACAAUUACAAGAAAACUUAC